rnacentral:rRNA from 1 species
GACGAACGCUGGCGGCGCGCCUAACACAUGCAAGUCGAACGGAGCUUAGAGAGCUUGCUUUUUAAGCUUAGUGGCGAACGGGUGAGUAACGCGUGAGUAACCUGCCCUAGAGUGGGGGACAACAGUUGGAAACGACUGCUAAUACCGCAUAAGCCCACGGUACCGCAUGGUACAGUGUGAAAAACUCCGGUGGUAUAAGAUGGACCCGCGUCUGAUUAGCUUGUUGGUGAGGUAACGGCCCACCAAGGCGACGAUCAGUAGCCGGCCUGAGAGGGUGAACGGCCACAUUGGGACUGAGACACGGCCCAAACUCCUACGGGAGGCAGCAGUGGGGAAUAUUGCACAAUGGGGGGAAACCCUGAUGCAGCGACGCCGCGUGAGUGAUGAAGUAUUUCGGUAUGUAAAACUCUAUCAGCAGGGAAGAUAAUGACGGUACCUGACUAAGAAGCACCGGCUAAAUACGUG